GACGUAGGAUGCAAGCGUUGUCCGGAAUUAUUGGGCGUAAAGAGUUCGUAGGCGGUUAUUCAAGUCUGGUGUUAAAGCCCGAAGCUCAACUUCGGCAUGGCAUUGGAAACUGGAUGGCUAGAGUGUGGUAGAGGUAUCGGGAAUUCCUGGUGUAGCGGUGAAAUGCGUAGAUAUCAGGAGGAACACCGGUGGCGAAAGCGCGAUACUGGGCCAUAACUGACGCUGAGGAACGAAAGCCAGGGGAGCGAAAGGG
rnacentral:rRNA from 1 species